rnacentral:siRNA from 1 species
CAAGGAAGUGCCCCAUGC